AGGUGCUCAUGGCCUGCUGAAGACUGAUGUUGGAACAGAAGAGCUGAGAAACACACCUGCCCCUACCUCAAGCCCUGCACCAAGUAAAAGUCAGCAGCAAUAUACCCUGGGGAAAGGGCUAGAGUGUGGCUGGAGAUCUUGCUGAAAGCUGGAGGUGGAGGAGGAAUACAAAGAUAAGAUUUUAGGACUCCAGGCUUCACAACUCCUUCUACAUCUGUUGUUCAAGGUUCAGACUCAAUAUGCAACUAAUUUAUGAAGCCCGUUUAGACCACAACAACCCUGAUGCAAGAUGUUCUCCACUAUGUUAAGAUGCAGCAUGAAGCCCUUACCAGAAGCUAAGAGUAUUCCGUUAGAGCAACACAAAACAGACUAAGACAACUUGUUCAUUACUGAU
rnacentral:lncRNA from 1 species